rnacentral:lncRNA from 1 species
UCGCAGGCGCGGGUCCUACCUGCCCAUGGCCCCUCACCACGCAACCCUAGGCAGGUCUCUUAUUUUCACUAUCCUCAAGGGGAAUGAGUUCCUGGCAGAAGAGGGAAGAGACGGGGACAGAUGAGAAAGAAAGCCCCUCCGUGGCUCUGCGACCAGUGUUAACCACAGGACAAGGCUGCUCUCAGGAACCCAAGGCCCCGGAAGGACCCGUUCACUUGGCUACUACGUUAAACCCGCCGAGGCAAGCCCGACAUCCCUCCUGUGUGCCAGCUUCACCAGACAAGUAGGAGAUGGAUGGAGGGGCGGGACACUUGGCCUCCAGGGACAGCCCCUGAGUUCUCCCAGUGCCCCCAGGGCCUCCCCCAGGCUUUUGGAACCCUCAGUUUCAUUUCUUGGAGCCUGGCUCUGAUUGUACACAAUAGAGGCUGAGCCAACGGGACGUUCAGACAGGUACCCCGCUUACCUUUAAGCACAAAAGCCUUUGGAAUGCCAGGUGUCCCACACCAGCCUCGAGCUCCAAAGACUUUGCAGUGAUGUCAUUAUUCUUAGCAUCUUUGUAACACACACAAACUGCGUAAGUCCAGGAAUCAGACUAUCACAUGAACCAGGACUGAAAUGACCAUCACUCUCCCAGCGGGUCCCUGUACCUCCUCCACCCCCCCAGUUCUACUCCCCCUCCUGGUGUUCCUGGCCUGGCUAGCACUGCCAUCCACGCAGCGCUCCAUCCAGAAAUCUGUGAGUCAUCUUGGACUCCUCCUUUUCACUCCCCAUACCAUUUGGUCAGGCCACCUCCCGAACAGUUCCUAAAUUCAUCCAGCGCUCUCCAUCUGCCCCGUCAUCAUCCUAGCGCAAGAGUGCCUGAAAUGCUAAAAUUAUCCCUUAAUUCAGGGGUUAACAAACCUUUUCUAUAAAGGGCCAGAUAACUAAAUAUUUUAGGCUCUGCGGACCAAGAGGCAAAAUUAAGGAUAUUAUGUAGGUCCUUAUGUAUUAUAGUCUCUGUCAAAACUGUUCAGUACUGCCAUUGUAGGCAAAAGCAGCCAUCAACAAUACAUAAGUGAAUGCACAUGGCUGUGUUCCAAUAAAACUUUAUUUAAAUUCCA